rnacentral:rRNA from 4 species
UAGUACGCAAGGAAUGGUCUCAGCGAUGCUCGACUAUAUCGGCCCCAUCGACGUAAUCAACUUCUGGCUGCUGCAAAGAAGGAAAACAAAAGGUUUAGGGAUUAACAAGG